GAUGAACGCUGGCGGCGUGCUUAACACAUGCAAGUCGAGCGAAGCACUUAAGUCUGAUUCUUCGGAUGAAGACUUUUGUGACUGAGCGGCGGACGGGUGAGUAACGCGUGGGUAACCUGCCUCAUACAGGGGGAUAACAGUUAGAAAUGACUGCUAAUACCGCAUAAGACCACGGUACCGCAUGGUACAGUGGUAAAAACUCCGGUGGUAUGAGAUGGACCCGCGUCUGAUUAGGUAGUUGGUGGGGUAACGGCCUACCAAGCCGACGAUCAGUAGCCGACCUGAGAGGGUGACCGGCCACAUUGGGACUGAGACACGGCCCAGACUCCUACGGGAGGCAGCAGUGGGGAAUAUUGCACAAUGGAGGAAACUCUGAUGCAGCGACGCCGCGUGAAGGAUGAAGUGUUUCGGUAUGUAAACUUCUAUCAGCAGGGAAGAAAAUGACGG
rnacentral:rRNA from 1 species